UACGAAGGGGGCUAGCGUUGCUCGGAAUCACUGGGCGUAAAGCGCACGUAGGCGGCUUUUUAAGUCAGGGGUGAAAUCCUGGAGCUCAACUCCAGAACUGCCUUUGAUACUGAGAAGCUUGAGUCCGGGAGAGGUGAGUGGAACUGCGAGUGUAGAGGUGAAAUUCGUAGAUAUUCGCAAGGACACCAGUGGCGAAGGCGGCUCACUGGCCCGGUACUGACGCUGAGGUGCGAAAGCGUGGGGAGCAAACAGG
rnacentral:rRNA from 1 species